AAAGACGGUCUUGCUGUCACUUAUAGAUGGAUCCGCGCUGCAUUAGCUAGUUGGUAAGGUAACGGCUUACCAAGGCAACGAUGCAUAGCCGACCUGAGAGGGGGAUCGGCCACACUGGAACUGAGACACGGUCCAGACUCCUACGGGAGGCAGCAGUAGGGAAUCUUCCGCAAUGGGCGAAAGCCUGACGGAGCAACGCCGCGUGAGUGAUGAAGGUCUUCGGAUCGUAAAACUCUGUUAUUAGGGAAGAACAUAUGUGUAAGUAACUGUGCACAUCUUGACGGUACCUAAUCAGAAAGCCACGGCUAACUACGUGCCAGCAGCCGCGGUAAUACGUAGGUGGCAAGCGUUAUCCGGAAUUAUUGGGCGUAAAGCGC
rnacentral:rRNA from 1 species